rnacentral:rRNA from 1 species
GUAGGGUGCGAGCGUUAAUCGGAAUUACUGGGCGUAAAGCGUGCGCAGGCGGUUUCGUAAGACAGACGUGAAAUCCCCGGGCUCAACCUGGGAACUGCGUUUGUGACUGCGAGGCUAGAGUAUGGCAGAGGGGGGUGGAAUUCCACGUGUAGCAGUGAAAUGCGUAGAGAUGUGGAGGAACACCGAUGGCGAAGGCAGCCCCCUGGGCCAAUACUGACGCUCAUGCACGAAAGCGUGGGGAGCAAACAGGAUUAGAUACCCUGGUAGUCCACGCCCUAAACGAUGUCGACUAGUUGUUGGUGGGGUUAAACCCAUUAGUAACGUAGCUAACGCGUGAAGUCGACCGCCUGGGGAGUACGGCCGCAAGGUUAAA